GACGAACGCUGGCGGCGUGCCUAAUACAUGCAAGUCGAGCGGAUCUUCAUUAGCUUGCUUUUGAAGAUCAGCGGCGGACGGGUGAGUAACACGUGGGCAACCUGCCUGUAAGACUGGGAUAACUUCGGGAAACCGGAGCUAAUACCGGAUAAUCCUUUCCCUCACAUGAGGGAAAGCUGAAAGACGGUUUCGGCUGUCACUUACAGAUGGGCCCGCGGCGCAUUAGCUAGUUGGUGAGGUAACGGCUCACCAAGGCGACGAUGCGUAGCCGACCUGAGAGGGUGGUCGGCCACACUGGGACUGAGACACGGCCCAGACUCAUACGGGAGGCAGCAGUAGGGAAUCUUCCGCAAUGGACGAAAGUCUGACGGAGCAACGCCGCGUGAGCGAUGAAGGCCUUCGGGUCGUAAAGCUCUGUUGUCAGGGAAGAACAAGUAUCGGAGUAACUGCCGGUACCUUGACGGUACCUGACCAGAAAGCCACGGCUAACUACGUGCCAGCCGCCGCAGUAAGAC
rnacentral:rRNA from 1 species